CUUCUCCUGAGGAGCUUCCCAACCCAGGGAUUGAACCUGGGUCUCCCUCAUUGCAGGCGGAUUCUUUACCAUCUGAGCUACUGGAGAAGCUCCCGGAGGUCAAGACUCCCCUUGGCCAUUUCCGAGGAGAGCACAGCCAUCAACUGCAACUGCUCCUGGAUGGCGCUGUUUAACCUGAGAUCCAAGAACAUCCCCCGGCCUCAGGAAGUUCAUAAAAUUACAGGUGUGGUUGUUUCGGCAGCCGCCAUUAGAUUCCUUGAAGACAGGCCCUGGAUCUGUUUGUAUAUAAGAGACUCAAUUAAAGAACGCUGACUGUCCUGCUC